rnacentral:rRNA from 1 species
AGUGAACGCUGGCGGUAGGCCUAACACACGCAAGUCGAACGGCAGCACAGUAAGAGCUUGCUCUUACGGGUGGCGAGUGGCGGACGGGUGAGGAAUACAUCGGAAUCUACUUUUUCGUGGGGGAUAACGUAGGGAAACUUACGCUAAUACCGCAUACGACCUACGGGUGAAAGCAGGGGAUCUUCGGACCUUGCGCGAUUGAAUGAGCCGAUGUCGGAUUAGCUAGUUGGCGGGGUAAAGGCCCACCAAGGCGACGAUCCGUAGCUGGUCUGGGAGGAUGAUCAGCCACACUGGAACUGAGACACGGUCCAGACUCCUACGGGAGGCAGCAGUGGGGAAUAUUGGACAAUGGGCGCAAGCCUGAUCCAGCCAUACCGCGUGGGUGAAGAAGGCCUUCGGGUUGUAAAGCCCUUUUGUUGGGAAAGAAAAGCAGCAGGUUAAUACCCCGCUGUUCUGACGGUACCCAAAGAAUAAGCACCGGCUAACUUCGUG